AACUUUUCAAACCUUAUAAAGAAUGUCUCUAAACAUAUGUAGCCCAUUUUUAUCAUUUAUAUAAAUUCACUGUUAGUCAUAAGACAGACUUUGUUGGAAUCUCAAUAUAUGUAGUCUGUUUAAUUGAAACAUUCUACUUAACUUAAGAAAUUUUCCGUAUAGAACUAAUAGAUCUAGUAUUUCCCGGUUUCAUCUUCAUAAAUUCAGAAUUUUAACUUCGUGAAUUCCCGUUUUCAACAUGUGGAAUUCACGAUUUCAGCUUCAUGGAUACCCGAUUUCAACUUCACGAGUUCACGUUUUCAACUUCACGAAUUCACUUUCGUGAAUUCACGAUUUCAACUUCACGAAUUCACAAUUUCAACUUCACAAAUUCAACGUCGUGAAUUCACGAUUUCAUCUUCACUAAUUCACGAUUUUAACUUCAUCUUGUUCAGAAUCUUGUUCUACUACUUAGAAGUACCUCUUAGAAGUACCACUUUAUACUACUCUGUACAAUUGAAUAUUUGCAAUGUUUUAUUAUGUUGCCAAUAUUUUUUCUGUUAAUGUAGUAGCUUACAUACUUAUUUCCCUUAAUCUUUUUUAAUAAUAGUUAUGUAAGCAUUGCUAGAUAUUUGCUUAGAUUUUUGUUUAUAUUUUAUGUUUUUGUCAAUGUAUUCUGUCGAUGUGUUAGCUUUAUAAUUAUAGGCUCUAUCUACCUUUACCUAAGUCACAAGACAGACAUUGUUGGAAGUCUAUCUAAUUGAAACAUUCUACUAAAUUUAAAAAAAUGUUCCGUAUAGAACUAAAAGAUCUAGUAUUUCGGAUGAAGUCCGUCUUAGAACACUUUUAACUUCCAGUAAAUAUACAGGUAAGAACUGAAUAUAGUUAGAAAGACCGGAAGGGGCAUUUCAACUUCAUGACUUUCCGAUUUCAUCUUUAUGAAUUCACAAUUUUAGCUUCGUGAAUUCCCGUUUUCAACAUGCAGAAUUCACGAUUUCACGAAUUCAGAUUCAUAAAUACCCGAAUUCAACUUCACGAAUUCACGAUUUCAAUUUCAUGAAUUCCCGAUUUCAAUUUCACGAAUUCAACUUCGUGAAUUCCCAACUUCAGCUUCAUGAAUUCCCGAUAUCGAUUUCACGAGUUCACGAUUUCAACUUCACGAAUUCAACGUCGUGAAUUCACGAUUUCAACUUCAUGAAUUCACGAUUUCAGCAUCAUGAAUUCAAGAUUUCAACUUCAUUAAUUCACGAUUUCAACUUCAUCAUGUUCAGAAUUUUUCUACUUCUUAGAAGGGAGAUAUUGCUAUACAUAAAAUAGCACAAUAUAUCAACUCGAAGUACAAUUUGUCGAAUUAACCCUACGGACAGUCCUGUAAAACUGUUUGCAUUAAUUAAGAUAAAUUGUUAAUAAAUUUGUUGAGUUUUCACAAUUCAUUUAAUUUUAAUACCCCUAUUUUAAAUAUGCUAAAUCUGAUCUUGUUAAUAUAACUGCCAAAAUAUGCACACGAUAACAUCUCCUUCAGGGACAAAUUCAAAAAAGAAAAACAAGUAAAACAUACAAAUAUACUCUAAAACAGGGAAAUGUUCUACUUCGAAGUUUAUCUAUAUUUAGGUUUAUAAUAAAUAUCAAAGUCUGGAAAAGCUCUUAGGAACUGAAAAUAUAUCAAACCCCGCAUGAACAAUACAUUACUCUCGUGGGCCAAUAACAUGCAUAUGCAUUACCAUCGAAAUGUUCCUGUAACUUUAACUUUAUAAAAAGGGUUGGGCAGUCUUUUUUUAAUAUUUUAGGCAGAUUAAUGGUCUAUCGUUAAGUUUUUUCAAUAGCAACUGUUGGUCAAUUAUCAUAUUAAUAGUGAAUGUUUUGAGAUAUAUAUUAAGUUAAUAUUGACAAUGAACUAGAAAUGUAUCGUCACAACACGGAUGUGCAGCCAACAUGCAGCCAAAAUGUCAAAUGUUGUAGUAAUAUUUAGUUUCAAAUUUGUUUGCACAAACUAUUUUUUCAUUCUAAGUUGAAAGCCCUUAAACUAUUCAAUGUUAACACAAACCAUUUUUAUACAAAGUUCAAGGCCAUGAAACUAUUUUAUCUAUGUUUACCUUUUGCAUAUUGCAUAUCUGUAGCCGAGAAAAUGACUUCAUACAUUUCCACAUGUGGAAUGCGGAAACUGAAAAUUUCAAUUUUUUCCUAAAGUUCAAAAUCAAUGAACCAUGACCACAUUCAAACUUGGCCUGCUUAUUCCUAAGAUGCAUCUAUAUGUCCAAUAUGAGUUGAAUGUGUACAACCGUUGGGGAGAUAUGGACGGAAAGUAAAACUUUCUUCUUUUUUUCAAAGUGAAAGGGGCAUAACCCUGCCAGAAAUUAUCAAAUCAUGACUUAAUUCAAACCUGACCAGCGUAUUUCUUUGACAUAUCUAUACCCUAAAUUUGAAUUGAAUAAGUUCAAAUGUUUGGGAUAUAAUGAAGGAAUUAUUAAGUAUGUAAGUAAGAUAGCAUCACUCGCGCGUCUACCGGCUAACGCAUAUUCCACACUUUACAGUAACAUGUUUGCAAUGUUUAAUUAUGAUGUCAAUAUAAUUUCUGCUAAUGAAGUAGCUUACAUUUAUUAUUUCCCUUAAUUUUUAAAUAAUGGUUAAACUAGCAUUGCUAAAAAUGUUUCAAUUAUCUUAUAUUAUAUUUUAUGUUAUUGUCAAUGAAUUCUGUAUGUGUGUUAGCUUAAUAUAUGCUCAAUCUAUCUUCAAUAUUUAGUUUGGUGAUUAUUAUGAGAGGUGUAAUAUUGUUGUUCCAAUUUUACUUUAAGUAAAACGUACUUGUCAUAAUUAUCCCUCAACAAUUUACGUUCUUUAAUCAUUCCGCAAUGAUAAAUGUAAUUAGUAUCAUCGCAAAAAAGCAUGGUGAAACAUCGCUGUCAAUUUGAAUGUUCACAGUCAAUUUUAAUUUCUUUUAUCAAAUUGUUAUCUUUUUACUUUUUAGGCACCUUGCACUUAAAUACAAACGUUUUGUGUUUCCAUAUCUUUGUUUUUGUUGUUGAAUUUUUGUCAAAAUGAAUACAAAGUUGUAAGCAAAAGUUAAAUGGUGAAAUUUGCAGAAUCGGUUUGAUUUAGUCAAGCGAUGACUAUAAUAAUAAUAAAUGAUGAUGAUUGCAACAUAUCUUACCCACUAGUUCCGGCUUUAGCGGUAUGCAAUCUUCUAUCAUCGAAAAUGUUAGAAUUUCUAUUGAUCAAUAUAGCUUAAUUUUUUUUCAAUUUGUUUUACAUAUUAUUUGUAUUAUAGUUGAAUAAUAUUUUUAUUAUGUUGCUAGCAAAAAAAUCAUUACAUUCGUUCAGUAUGUUGAAUUGAUCUGCCAUAUAUUACCCUUUUCUUAAAAAUGUGAUUCUGACUUAAUCAGAGCAAAAUGUUUCAAUUUAUGUUCAGUAAAACAACUAUUUAUCACUAUAUUAAUUCAUGUUUAUUAAUCAUUCAUAUACCACAUUUUAAUGAGUACCAUCUUAGAAAAAGUGGGUGGAUAUUAUUGACCAAUUUUCAAGAUUUUUCCCUUCAGUUGUAAUUAUUUUUAGAUGUAAUUGUAUGUACAUGUAGCAUUAGUUUUUGAACGUAAAGCACUUUUGUGAAAUUAUUUGCGUUUCGAUAUUUUGGCGUAAACUGAUUUUUUAUUAAGUUAAAGUUUAAAAAGGCCUGAAAAUGGAUGUUUUAAACAAAAUUUAUAUUUUUUUCACUGAUAUUCAUUUCAGAGUUAUUUUGUUAUAAUUAAUUUUUAAGAUGUGUAAUAAUAAUAAUUAUAAUAAUAAUAAUAAUAAGACCAAUAAAAAUAAAUAUAUAAUAAUAAUAACAACAGUAAUUCAACUUCAGUUUCGAUAAAACGUGCCAGUUAUCAUUUUGUUUGUUUCCAAUGAGCUAUGAUAUAUCCUUAACCUAACUGUAUAGUUUCAAUUGUAUCUUGAAAUUCUUUGAGUGUAUGUUUGGUUUCUGUGCAAGUUAUUGGCUUAUAGCGUUCAAUCCUUUAUCGCUUGUUCCACUAUACAUGUAUAUAUAAUAAAAUAUAUUACUCAUA